rnacentral:rRNA from 1 species
GUUCAGGGGUAAACCUAAGAAACCCAAAAGAUCGAACGGGGAGAUUCAUCGUCAGCGACGCUGGCUUCGCGUCGGUGGGCGAUGCCCCGCGGGGCCUCGCGGCUCUCGCGCGGGCACGCUGCCGUGCGCCGAUGUCCGGCGUUCGUCGUCGUGCACUUCUCCCCUAGUAGAACGUCGCGACCCGCUGGGUGUCGGUCUACGGCCCGGGUGCGGUGACUGACGCGCCGCCGGUAAAACGGCACGCGUCAAACCCUCGGUAGCCCGGCCGGCUGCCCGGCGGUACACGCAAGGUAUCAGGCCGCAAGCCGAGCUUGCUCGGUGAAUGCGUCGAGGCCGUCGCAAGCGCGCGCCACGGUACACGGAGGCUAACGGACCUAGCGCCGUCACCGGUCCUGGCCCGCUGUUGGUCUUGUUUUAAACGGAUAACCUUCGACAGGCCUGCUAACGUCCUCCCUCCGGGGGGGACCGAUACCGGUCGGCGACGCUACUGCUUUGGGUACUCUUAGGACCCGUCUUGAAACACGGACCAAGGAGUCUAACAUGUACGCGAGUCAUUGGGACUGAGCGAUACCUAAAGGCGCAAUGAAAGUGAAGGUCGUCCCUGGUUGUCGACCGAGGGAGGAUGGGCCGCGUCGCGAUGCGGCUCCGCACUCCCGGGGCGUCUCGUUCUCAUCGCGAGAAGAGGCGCACCCAGAGCGUACACGUUGGGACCC